CCUACGGGUGGCUGCAGUGGGGAAUUUUGCGCAAUGCUCGUAAGAGUGACGCAGCGACGCCGCGUGAAUGACGAAGGCCUUCGGGUCGGAAAGUUCUUUCGAUAGGGAAGAAAAUGCAUAUAAGUAACUGUGUAUGUAUUUACGGUACCUGUAUAAGCAGCCCCGGCGAACUCCGUGCCAGCAGCCGCGGUAAUACGGAGGGGGCGAGCGUUGUUCGGAGUGACUGGGCGUAAAGAGCACGUAGGCGGUGUUGUAAGUCAUUAGUCAAAGACCAGAGCUCAACUUUAGUAAGGCUAGUGAUACUAUACUACUAGAGUAUCGUAGCGGAUGGCAGAAUUUCUGGUGUAGCGGUGAAAUGCGUAGAUAUCAGAAGGAAUACCGUUAGCGAAGGCGGCAAUCUGGCUGGAAACUGACGCUGAGGUGCGAAAGCGUGGGUAGCAAACAGGAUUAGAUACCCUUGUAGUC
rnacentral:rRNA from 1 species